GCCCCUAUAGCUCAGUUGGUAGAGCAUUCGCCUAGAUAGCGAAAGGCCCCCAGUUUGAACUUGGGUGGAGGCA
rnacentral:tRNA from 1 species